GAUGAACGCUGGCGGCGUGCCUAAUACAUGCAAGUCGAGCGAAUGGAUUAAGAGCUUGCUCUUAUGAAGUUAGCGGCGGACGGGUGAGUAACACGUGGGUAACCUGCCCAUAAGACUGGGAUAACUCCGGGAAACCGGGGCUAAUACCGGAUAACAUUUUGAACCGCAUGGUUCGAAAUUGAAAGGCGGCUUCGGCUGUCACUUAUGGAUGGACCCGCGUCGCAUUAGCCAGCUGGUGAGGUAACGGCUCACCAAGGCAACGAUGCGUAGCCGAACUGAUAGGGUGGUAGGCCACACGGGGACUGAGACAGGGCCCAGACUGCUACGGGAGGCAGCAGUAGGGAAGCUUCCGCAAUGGACGAAAGUCUGACGGAGCAACGCCGCGUGAGUGAUGAAGGCUUUCGGUUCGUAAAACUCUGUUGUUAGGGAAGAACAAGUGCUAGUUGAAUAAGCUGACACCUUGACGGUACCUAACCAGAAAGCCACGGCUAACUACGUGCCAGCGGCCGCCGUAA
rnacentral:rRNA from 1 species